UAGAACUCGUUGGGCUCGCCAUUAGCAAGUGCUUGUCGGGAGGGAGGCAGUAGUAGCUGCUGCUGGUCGGGCAAGAGGUAUUUCAAGUUUUGGUCGUACGCGUUCAGGUGGGGUGCAGUCAUGUUAUUUAUUUGCGGCGGGGCUAGCAAUUUUCAUGUGAUAGCGUAGGUCAGCAGCCAGGGGGGUCCCAGAUUCAUGCAGUACCUCUUCAUUCUGGAGUGUGAUAUCGUCUCCAUGUGCAUGUUUUUCUGCUCCUGAUUUUGUACUAUAAUCUUCAUUCUGUUUUUGUUGUGCACGGUUACUUCUUAGGCCUGUGUUAUGGAGCAGGUUUUGUGGUGAUUUUUCUUUGCGAUUCAGGCUAAAUGGAUGGACAUGAAAAAAUUCAGGCGGUUUUUUGUUAUUGUACUUCUUCAGAAUGCAUUUUUUCAGUUUCAGGCUGUUUUUUUUGCAUCAACAAUGGUUGAUUGUUGUAGCUCAUUUUUUCUGUAUGUUGCAAUCAGGCUAAAUCAGGCGGUUUUUCUCCAAACAAAGUCUAGUGUAGCUAUGAUUAUUUUUUCUAUUUGCAGUUUCAUUUGAUCUUUUACUUCUGCAUUCUUCAGUUUAUAUGUUAUGAGUCUUCACUCGAUGCAAUCGUUUAUAUUUGUAUAAUAAUUUUCAUUUAGUUUCUUAUAGUUACAACAACAACAACAACAACAAAGCCUUUAGUCCCAAGCAAGUUGGGGUAGGCUAGAGGUGAAACCCAUAAGAUCUCGCAACCAACUCAUGGCUCUGGCACAUGGAUAGCAAGCUUCCAUGCACCCCUGUCCAUAGCUAGCUCUUCGGUGAUACCCCAAUCCUUCAAGUCUCUCUUAACUGACUCCUCCCAUGUCAAAUUCGGUCUACCCCGCCCUCUCUUGACAUUCUCCGCACGCUUUAGCCAUCCGCUAUGCACUAGAGCUUCUGGAGGCCUGCGCUGGAUAUGCCCAAACCAUCUCAGACGAUGUUGGACAAGCUUCUCUUCAAUUGGUGCUACCCCAACUCUAUCUCGUAUAUCAUCAUUCCGGACUCGAUCCUUCCUCGUGUGGCCACACAUCCAUCUCAACAUACGCAUCUCCGCCAUACCUAACUGUUGAACAUGUCGCCUUUUAGUCGGCCAACACUCAGCGCCAUACAACAUUGCGGGUCGAACCGCCGUCCUGUAGAACUUGCCUUUUAGCUUUUGUGGCACUCUCUUGUCACAGAGAAUGCCAGAAGCUUGGCGCCACUUCAUCCAUCCGGCUUUGAUCCGAUGGUUCACAUCUUCAUCAAUACCCCCAUCCUCCUGCAGCAUUGACCCCAAAUACCGAAAGGUGUCCUUCCGAGGUACCACCUGACCAUCAAGGCUAACCUCCUCCUCCUCACACCUAGUAGUACUGAAACCGCACAUCAUGUACUCGGUUUUAGUCCUACUAAGCCUAAACCCUUUCGAUUCCAAGGUUUGUCUCCAUAACUCUAACUUCCUAUUUACCCCCGCCCGACUAUCGUCAACUAGCACCACAUCAUCCGCAAAGAGCAUACACCAUGGGAUAUCUCCUUGUAUAUCCCUUGUGACCUCAUCCAUCACCAAUGCAAAAAGAUAAGGGCUCAAAGCUGACCCCUGAUGCAGUCCUAUCUUAAUCGGGAAGUCAUCAGUGUCGACAUCACUUGUUCGAACACUUGUCACAACAUCAUCGUACAUGUCCUUGAUGAGGGUAAUGUACUUUGCUGGGACUUUGUGUUUCUCCAAGGCCCACCACAUGACAUUCCGCGGUAUCUUAUCAUAGGCCUUCUCCAAGUCAAUGAACACCAUAUGCAAGUCCUUCUUUUGCUCCCUAUAUCUCUCCAUAAGCUGUCGUACCAAGAAAAUGGCUUCCAUGGUCGACCUCCCAGGCAUGAAACCAAACUGGUUUUUGGUCACGCUUGUCAUUCUUCUUAAGCGGUGCUCAAUGACUCUCUCCCAUAGCUUCAUUGUAUGGCUCAUCAGCUUAAUUCCACGGUAAUUAGUACAACUCUGAACAUCCCCCUUGUUCUUGAAGAUUGGUACUAAUAUACUCCGUCUCCAUUCUUCUGGCAUCUUGUUUGCCCGAAAAAUGAGAUUGAAAAGCCUGGUUAGCCAUACUAUCGCUAUGUCCCCGAGACCUUUCCACACCUCAAUGGGGAUACAAUCCGGGCCCAUCGCCUUGCCUCCCUUCAUCCUUUUUAAAGCCUCCUUGACCUCAGACUCCUGGAUUCGAUGCACAAAACGCAUGCUGGUCUCAUCAAAAGAGUCGUCCAGUUCAAUGGUAGAGCUUUCAUUCUCCCCAUUGAACAGCUUGUCGAAGUACUCCCGCCAUCUAUGCUUAAUCUCCUCGUCCUUCACCAAGAGUUGGCCUGCUCCGUCCUUGAUGCAUUUGACUUGGCCAAUAUCCCUCGUCUUCCUCUCUCGGAUCUUGGCCAUCUUAUAGAUGUCCCUUUCGCCUUCCUUCGUGCCUAACCGUUGGUAGAGGUCCUCAUACGCCCGACCCCUUGCUUCACCAACAGCUCGCUUUGCGGCCUUCUUCGCCAUCUUGUACUUCUCUAUGUUGUGUGCACUCCUAUCCAGGUAUAGGCGUCUAAAGCAAUCUCUUAUAGUUCCCAGUUUAUUUUCCAAGUUAGUCAGCAGUCUUUGGUUUCAUGUUGGUGUACUUAGUUCCUACUUCUGCAGUUCCUAUUUGCCACAAAGUCGUGCAUGGACACAUGAUGAACUUGUAGUUCAUGGUGUUAUUCAUGCCACUAAUCGUAUCAACUGGACAUGGUGAUUUAAUUUGCACGCUAUAUAAGCCAUUUUUUGGGUGUUGAAGUUCCUUCCUGUUUACAUUUUUCUAGCCUAGUACUCCCUCCGUUCCGAAUUACUUGCCGCACGUAUGGAUGUAUCUAGAUGUAUUUCAGUUCUAGAUACAUCUAUUUCAGUGACGAGUAAUUUGGGACGGAGGGAGUACUUGAUACUAAUUUUUGUUUUAUUCUAUGUAGUGCUUGAGGCUAAUUUCUCUCAGAAGCCCAUUUCUGACUGGAUGUCUUCUGUUACUCAAAGUGUACAUGAUAUCCUUCUUCAAAGUUAACUACCAUUCCUGGGAUAUUUUUAUACCUCUAUAGUUUAUUGAUUAAAAACCAAGAAUAUGCAGAUGGUUGUAAUUUAGUCUAAGAUCCUGGUGCUCACUAAAUUUCUCUAUCAAUUAACCAAUCAGCCAAGAGAAACACACAGUAGCAGAUUGUUGUACCGUCUUCAACACACACGUACGGGUAAUGCCUAGAGUACAAAAAUAAUAUUAUUCAGUCAUCUGUUGUAGCGUAGAAUUGUUCUUUGUAGUUCAGUUUUCAGUUUUGUCAGUCAUGCCACAUUUAAUUUAUCAUUAAGAUUCAUUUUCCAGUUUUCAGAUUGGUGUGUUAUUUUUAGUUAAAUAGUAUUAUUAUAGCUUAUUCUUAUAGGUUUGUAUUUCAGCUUUUUUUCAGUUUCAGUCUGUAAUCAUGAGUGUGGUACUACAUUAUUUAUUACAUAGUUCUCUUUAUUUUCAUUUUUCAGCAAGCAUCUCAUGUAUUUUCUUAGUAUUUCAUUAUUGCCACUGUGUACUGGUCAUCAGUUAUAUGUGGUUAUGGUUUAGGGGUUCAUUUUCUAAUCAAUAGUUCAUAGUUUUUUCAUGGUUUAGUUAAUAGUUUUCAAUUUUUUCAGGGUUCAGUGUAUUGUUUUCAGUGUUAUAUAUUCAUUUUGUGUUCAGUCUUGCAUGAUUAUUUACAGUGACAUCAGUGUUUCAUCAAUCAUCAGUUUUGAUAUUUUGCUUUAGUUCUUAGCGUGAGUUUACAGAUUUCUAGUUUAGUAUAGUUCAUCAGUUAGGUUUUAGUUUUUAAACAGGGAGUGACAUCAUUUGUUUAGUGUUCAUAGGUUUUCUGUUAUGUUUCAGUUUUCAAUCGUGUAGUUAUUUCUGUAAGUAGUUUCAGAGUGUUAGGUGUCAUUUUUUUAGUUCCGUCAGUUAGUUUCAUUCUUCAUUAGUUUCUUCAUUUCUUAGUCUCAGUUAUCAGUUCUUAGUCUUCAGAGUUAGUUCUCAGUACCCUUCUAAGGAUCAAUAUCUUUUAGUUAUGUUAAAGUUCCUCUGUAGGUCGAGCUGCAUGGAACCUCUUAUCUUUAGCCCUUCAACAUUGCUUUGAGGUCCGUACUCUCCAACUAACUUGCAACAAGAAGAUUUCUCUUUUUUGUUUCUCUCAGAUGAAAGAACAUAUGGACUUCAAACUUUGCAUAUCAAACUAACUUUACAACUUCAAUGUGUGAAAAAACUUUCAGAUUUUUUGGACCAACAUAAAUAUACCAAAUGAGGAUUUUUUUGAUUAAAAAAAUAAAUUUUAGCAUUUUAAAUGCAUGAAAAAAUCUGAAAGUUUUUUCCCACAUAGUAAUUAGAAUGUUUUGUUGUCCUGCAAAGUUUGAAGUUUAUACGUUGUUUCGUUUGAGAGAAACAAACAAUACAAAUGUGUCUGCACAGAUCUUGAUGAAAAAAUGAAGGGCUAAGAUAAGGGUUACCAUGUAGCUCAAGCUACACAAAUCCACACUCCCUCAGUUAUUAGUAUUCAUUAACCUUAAGGAUUGACAUUUGUGUGCUUAUUUUGCUAUCGGUUGUUAGUUUUUUGUAUCUUCUGCGCAUAAUCAUGACUAGUUUCAUUUUUUUAACAAUAAUACUUUUGUUGCUCAUCAGCCGGCACCUUCUUUUUCUUUUUUCUCUUUUUUUUCCUGAUGUAUGCAACCCAUGGGCAUCACAGAAAUUACCAUUCAAGAUCACGGGGACGGGCUGGCUGGAAUACAAUUGGGAACAUGGAGCAUUACCACUGUUGUGUAUAAGAAUUUUAAGGACGGCGAAAUCAAAUUUAAGAAGGGGUGGAAGGAGUUUGUGAUGAGGAAGACAAUGCUGUACUAAUCACUUUCAGGAGCAGCACAUUCGUGGAGUUCAAAAUGAUAAUGAUCAUCAACAAGUGAGUUGCUCGUGUUUAUUCAAGAAGGCGAUGAUGUGCUUUUCCUGAAGUAUAAAUCGUUCGCUGUGCGCAAUUUUUAUUUUGUUAUAGUUGUUGUGUUUGCUUCAAGCUACUGGAACCUUUUUAUGAGCCAUCUAUUUUCAGUAUCUUUUUGUUCAGUUAGCUUUCAUGUAUGUAGUGCCAAUCAAUCGCCUAGCUAUGCUCAAUAGCAUCUGUAUUUUCCCAAUCUGUACUAGUAUUUUUUGUUUGAACCGAAAUCUGUACUAGUAUCAUCAGUUAUUGAUUCUAUUUUUUUAAGUUUUACUUUUCAUUAUAUGUAUUAUUGAUUAUU
rnacentral:lncRNA from 1 species